UACAGAGGGUGCGAACGUGUUCGGAUUUACUGGGCGUAAAGCGCGUGUAGGCGGCUGUGCAAGUCGGGUGUGAAAGCCCGGGCUCAACCCGGGAAGUGCAUUCGAUACUGCGCAGCUGGAGUCCCGGAGAGGAUGGUGGAACUCGUCGGUGUAGAGGUGAAAUUCGUAGAUAUCGAGAAGAACACCGGUGGCGAAGGCGGCCAUCUGGACGGUGACUGACGCUGAGACGCGAAAGCGUGGGGAGCAAACAGG
rnacentral:rRNA from 1 species